rnacentral:rRNA from 1 species
UGCAAGUCGAACGGUAACAGGUCUUCGGAUGCUGACGAGUGGCGAACGGGUGAGUAAUACAUCGGAACGUGCCCGAGAGUGGGGGAUAACGAAGCGAAAGCUUUGCUAAUACCGCAUACGAUCUCAGGAUGAAAGCAGGGGACCGCAAGGCCUUGCGCUCACGGAGCGGCCGAUGGCAGAUUAGGUAGUUGGUGGGAUAAAAGCUUACCAAGCCGACGAUCUGUAGCUGGUCUGAGAGGACGACCAGCCACACUGGGACUGAGACACGGCCCAGACUCCUACGGGAGGCAGCAGUGGGGAAUUUUGGACAAUGGGCGCAAGCCUGAUCCAGCCAUGCCGCGUGCAGGAUGAAGGCCUUCGGGUUGUAAACUGCUUUUGUACGGAACGAAAAGACUCUGGUUAAUACCUGGGGUCCAUGACGGUACCGUAAGAAUAAGCACCGGCUAACUACGUGCCAGCAGCCGCGGUAAUACGUAGGGUGCGAGCGUUAAUCGGAAUUACUGGGCGUAAAGCGUGCGCAGGCGGUUAUGUAAGACAGAUGUGAAAUCCCCGGGCUCAACCUGGGAACUGCAUUUGUGACUGCAUAGCUAGAGUACGGCAGAGGGGGAUGGAAUUCCGCGUGUAGCAGUGAAAUGCGUAGAUAUGCGGAGGAACACCGAUGGCGAAGGCAAUCCCCUGGGCCUGUACUGACGCUCAUGCA